rnacentral:rRNA from 1 species
UGGGGAAUAUUGCACAAUGGGCGAAAGCCUGAUGCAGCGACGCCGCGUGAGGGAUGACGGCCUUCGGGUUGUAAACCUCUUUCAGCAGGGACGAAGCGUGAGUGACGGUACCUGCAGAAGAAGCACCGGCUAACUACGUGCCAGCAGCCGCGGUAAUACGUAGGGUGCGAGCGUUGUCCGGAAUUAUUGGGCGUAAAGAGCUCGUAGGCGGUUUGUUGCGUCGGCUGUGAAAACUUCACGCUUAACGUGGAGCCUGCAGUCGAUACGGGCAGACUUGAGUUCGGCAGGGGAGACUGGAAUUCCUGGUGUAGCGGUGAAAGCGCGCAGAUAUCAGGAGGGAACACCGGUGGCGAAGGCGGGUCUCUGGGCCGAUACUGACGGCUGAGGAGCGAAAGCUGUGGGGAGCGAACAGGAUUAGAUACC